UGGGGAAUAUUGGACAAUGGGCGCAAGCCUGAUCCAGCAAUGCCGCGUGAGUGAAGAAGGCCUUAGGGUUGUAAAGCUCUUUCGGCGGGGACGAUGAUGACGGUACCCGCAGAAGAAGCCCCGGCUAACUUCGUGCCAGCAGCCGCGGUAAUACGAAGGGGGCUAGCGUUGCUCGGAAUGACUGGGCGUAAAGGGCGCGUAGGCGGAUUGCUUUGUCGGGCGUGAAAUUCCAGGGCUUAACCUUGGGGCUGCGUUCGAGACGGGUGAUCUAGAGUUUGGAAGAGGGUCGUGGAAUUCCCAGUGUAGAGGUGAAAUUCGUAGAUAUUGGGAAGAACACCGGUGGCGAAGGCGGCGACCUGGUCCUUGACUGACGCUGAGGCGCGAAAGCGUGGGGAGCAAAC
rnacentral:rRNA from 1 species